CAGCGCAGCUCUGGCCUCACUCCCCACGGGCUGGAGGCAGCUCCCUCCCCAGGAGAGCCCAGCGCAGCUUGGGGUGCUGGGGGGCUGCAGGAUCGGGUGGUCUGAAAUGUCUGAUGGAAACCUGAGCUGCAGCGGGUCCACAGCUCCCACUCAUCCGGCGUGUUCGAACGAUGGCCUCACUUACACACAGCAUUGGAAGGAGUGUGGGGAGGGGAUGUUCUCUCCCUUCAGAAAUGGCACAAUUUACCAAAGGACAGGAGAGCAAGGUGGCCGCGUGCUGGGGCAGGCAUGCCGGGUCACCCCCUGAUGCCCACGCUCCAGGAACCAUCAGGCUGGGCUGUCACAGUGGGUGCAGAAUCCCUCUCAAUCCCCAUGCUGCUCUGUGCUGCAGAGCCAGACUGAGCCAAGCCCUUGUCUCAUCUGAUGAGGCCAUUUUGAAGCCCCUGUUGGCUCCUGACCUGGCCCUGUGAGUGGUACCCUCAGCCUCUGCUCCAGAGCCUGCUUGGUCCCUUCAUCUUUGCUUCUGAACUCUUCCAGCCACCCCCUCACAUGAAGCAGAUUC